rnacentral:piRNA from 1 species
UGCCGAGGUACACUGAUGAGCUAGACC